GAUCCUGCUCAGGAUGAACGCUGGCGGCGUGCCUAAUACAUGCAAGUAGAACGCUGAAGGAAGGAGCUUGCUCUUUCCGGAUGAGUUGCGAACGGGUGAGUAACGCGUAGGUAACCUGCCUGGUAGCGGGGGAUAACUAUUGGAAACGAUAGCUAAUACCGCAUAACAAUAGAUGUUGCAUGACAACUAUUUGAAAGGGGCAAUUGCUCCACUACCAGAUGGACCUGCGUUGUA
rnacentral:rRNA from 1 species